CCCAAAGUGGUGUAGUGGUUUGAAUAUUGGACUGGGACUCCAGGGAUCUGGAUUCAAAUUCGUGCUCAGCCAUGGGA